GGGUGCGGCGGCUCUCCAGCGAGGUUAGUGUUUUGGUUAUUCGGCUCCGGUCAACCUGUAGAGAAAAGAAUGGUGAUCACGGUGAUAUAAAAAUUGCAUCAAACGGAGGCCGGGAAGGGCCUCAUCGGAGGCAAAAACCGAGAAGGGGCGCGGCGGCGCCGCUGGGCUUCGGCCGUGUAUUCCGGCCGUUUGGCAGGGAUUUUGGCUCCGAUUUGGCCACAGGAGGAAUCAGCGUGGAAAAACGAGUCGGGGGUAC
rnacentral:lncRNA from 1 species